GGGAUAACAGCGUAAUUAUUUUAGAGAGUUCAUAUCGAUAAAAUAGAUUGCGACCUCGAUGUUGAAUUAAGAGUAAGUUUAGGUGUAGAAGUUUAAAUUUUAAGUCUGUUCGACUUUUAAAUUCUUACAUGAUUUGAGUUCAGACCGGUGUAAGCCAGGUUGGUUUCUAUCUU
rnacentral:rRNA from 1 species